rnacentral:rRNA from 1 species
AGAGUUUGAUCCUGGCUCAGGAUGAACGCUGACAGAAUGCUUAACACAUGCAAGUCGAUGGGGAAGUGGUGCUUGCACCAUGGUAACCAUGGCGGACGGGUGAGUAACGCGUAAGGGACUUACCUGCAGGACUGGGAUAACAGGGGGAAACUCCUGACAAGACCGGAUAAUGUCAUGGAGCUGCAUGGCUCUGUGAUUAAAGGAGACGCCUGCGGAGAGCCUUGCGUCCUAUUAGCUAGUUGGUGAGGUAAUGGCUCACCAAGGCGAAGAUAGGUAGCCGGCCUGAGAGGGUGGACGGCCACAAGGGGACUGAGAUACGGCCCUUACUCCUACGGGAGGCAGCAGUGGGGAAUAUUGGACAAUGGGGGCAACCCUGAUCCAGCAAUUCUGUGUGCACGAAGAAGGUUUUCGGAUUGUAAAGUGCUUUCAGCAGGGAAGAAGCAAGUGACGGUACCUGCAGAAGAAGCGACGGCUAAAUACGUG